AUUGAACGCUGGCGGCAGGCCUAACACAUGCAAGUCGAGCGAGUGGCGGACGGGUGAGUAAUGUAUGGGGAACUGCCCGAUAGGGGGGGAUAACUACUGGAAACGGUAGUUAAUACCGCAUACUAUCGGAUGUGCCCAGAUGGGAUUAGCUAGUAGGUGGGGUAAAGGCUCACCUAGGCGACGAUCCCUAGCUGGUCUGAGAGGAUGACCAUCCACACUGGGACUGAGACACGGUCCAGACUCCUACGGGAGGCAGCAGUGGGGAAUAUUGCACAAUGGGCGCAAGUCUGAUGCAGCCAUGCCGCGUGUAUGAAGAAGGCCUUAGGGUUGUAAAGUACUUUCAGCGAGGAGGCGUUACUCGCAGAAGAAGCACCGGCUAACUCCGUGCCAGCAGCCGCGGUAAUAC
rnacentral:rRNA from 1 species